rnacentral:rRNA from 1 species
AGCUCCAAUAGCGUAUAUUAAAGUUGUUGUGGUUAAAAAGCUCGUAGUUGGAUCUCGGCGGUCUGAGGGCGGUUCGCUUGAUUGAGUGCUACUGCUCUAUAGGCCGUGGUUUUGCCAGAGGUCUCGGGGUGCUCUUAACCGAGUGUCCUGCGAUGCUGGCAGGUUUACUUUGAAAAAAUUAGAGUGCUCAAAGCAGGCUUUUACGCCUGAAUAUUCGUGCAUGGAAUAAUAGAAUAGGAAGUCGUUUCUAUUUUGUUGGUUUUCGGAAAUCGACUUAAUGAUUAAUAGGGACAGUCGGGGGCAUUUGUAUUCAAACGACAGAGGUGAAAUUCUUGGAUUUGUUAAAGACGGACUACUGUGAAAGCAUUUGCCAAGGAUGUUUUCA